GAUGAACGCUAGCUACAGGCCUAACACAUGCAAGUCGAGGGGAAACGGCAGCUUAGCUUGCUAAGCUGGACGUCGACCGGCGCACGGGUGAGUAACGCGUAUCCAACCUGCCCCACGGUGAGGGAUAACCCGCGGAAACGCGGCCUAAUACCUCAUGGCCUCCGAGCUUGACAUCAACCUUGGAGUAAAGAUUCAUUGCCGUGGGAUGGGGAUGCGUCUGAUUAGUUAGUCGGCGGGGUAACGGCCCACCGAGACGACGAUCAGUAGGGGUUCUGAGAGGAAAGUCCCCCACAUUGGAACUGAGACACGGUCCAAACUCCUACGGGAGGCAGCAGUGAGGAAUAUUGGUCAAUGGGCGGAAGCCUGAACCAGCCAAGUAGCGUGCAGGACGACGGCCCUAUGGGUUGUAAACUGCUUUUAUGCGGGGAUAAAGUGGGCCACGCGUGGCCUUUUGCAGGUACCGCAUGAAUAAGGACCGGCUAAUUCCGUG
rnacentral:rRNA from 1 species